UCGAACGAGAAGUACGUAGCAAUACGUAUUGUAAAGUGGCGCACGGGUGAGUAACACGUGGGUAAUCUGCCCUUGAGUUUGGGAUAACCCCGCGAAAGCGGGGCUAAUACCGAAUAAGACCACGGGGACCAAAGUCCCUGAGGUAAAAGGUGGCCUCUAUUUAUAAGCUACCACUUGAGGAUGAGCCCGCGGCCCAUUAGCUAGUUGGCAGGGUAACGGCCUACCAAGGCAAUGAUGGGUAGCUGGUCUGAGAGGACGAUCAGCCACACUGGAACUGAGACACGGUCCAGACUCCUACGGGAGGCAGCAGUGGGGAAUAUUGCGCAAUGGGCGAAAGCCUGACGCAGCAACGCCGCGUGGGGGAUGAAGGUUCUCGGAUUGUAAACCCCUUUCGAUCGGAACGAAUCCCCUCCUGGUAAAUAAUCAGGAGGAUCGACGGUACCGAGAGAAGAAGCCACGGCUAACUCUGUGCCAGCAGCCGCGGUAAGACAGAGGUGGCGAGCGUUGUUCGGAUUUAUUGGGCGUAAAGCGAACGCAGGUGGUUUGGUAAGUCAGGGGUGAAAGACCACAGCUUAACUGUGGCAUUGCCUUUGAUACUGCCUUUCUUGAGUAGAGUAGGGGGAAGCGGAAUUCCGAGUGUAGAGGUGAAAUUCGUAGAUAUUCGGAGGAACACCGGUGGCGAAGGCGGCUUCCUGGACUCUAACUGACACUCAUGUUCGAAAGCGUGGGGAGCAAACAGGAUUAGAUACCCUGGUAGUCCACGCCCUA
rnacentral:rRNA from 1 species